rnacentral:rRNA from 1 species
UACGUAGGGUGCAAGCGUUGUCCGGAAUUAUUGGGCGUAAAGAGUUCGUAGGCGGUUUGUCGCGUCCGUUGUGAAAGCUUGGGGCUCAACCCCAAGUCUGCAGUGGAUACGGGCAGACUAGAGUCAGGUAGGGGAGAACGGAAUUCCUGGUGUAGCGGUGAAAUGCGUAGAGAUCCGGAGGAACCCCAGAGGCGAAGGCGGCGCUCGCGCUACGCGAACUGACGCUCAGACA